CGCAGCUUAGGUGGGAGACGUUGAACCUUUUCUUCCGGGAAAGGGGGAGUCAUCAGUGAGAUACCACUCUUGGUAAGCUAGAGCGCUCAUUUUUAACCGUUAUCCGGUAAAAAGACAGUUUCAGGCGGGCAGUUUGACUGGGGCAGUCACCUCCCAAAAGGUAAUGGAGGUGUACAAAGGUUCUCUCAGGCUGGACGGAAAUCAGCCAUAGAGUGUAAAAGCAUAAGAGAGCUUGACUGCGAGACGGACAUGUCAAGCAGAGACGAAAGUCGGUUUUAGUGAUCCGACGGUGCUGAGUGGAAAGGCCGUCGCUCAACGGAUAAAAGUUACUCUAGGGAUAACA
rnacentral:rRNA from 1 species